GCAGAUUUCAUGCAGUUUCUGUUCCCUCUCUCUCACAUGGGUACGUAGGUGUCCACGUCGUCAUGGGUGGAUGGUUACAGGAGCCCAACGUCCACCGCCCAACGCAUAUUUUCGCACCGCUUAACUGUUGCUCGUGACUUCUCUAUGCUGAUCGACCGACUAAACUUAAGCAGCUAUAUGUACUUGUCACGAGGUUUGUUACAGAAGCCCGACCACAAUUCUUAAUUAGCAAGGUAACUUUUUGCGUUCGAUCUUCUCACCAACUAUCAAGUAAGUACAAAAACACACUGGAAGGGCCUACAAGUGAAGUCCUCCUGCGAGCAAGGGCAGGAUCAAUCACUUCUCCGUGGCAGAUGAGGCAGAUCGGCAGCGGCGCCGACGGGAGGCAGGAGCCCGUUCAUGGCAAUUAGGUAGCUAAGUUAAUUGAAGUCACUCAAUUGGAGUGUCACGCCAUCUGAGCUUGGCAAGCAAGUUGAUCAUGGCUCACAUCAAGUAGUACUAGCCAGUCCAUUAAUAAUAGUUUACUAGUAUUGACUUUUUAGAGAUGGUGGCUUGGCAUGUUCAUGGUCUGGUGGUACUACUGAGGAAGAAUAAUAUAAAAGCAUUUCUGAA